AUUGAACGCUGGCGGCAUGCCUUACACAUGCAAGUCGAACGACAGCACGGGAGCAAUCCUGGUGGCGAGUGGCGAACGGGUGAGUAAUGUAUCGGAACGUACCUUUCAGUGGGGGAUAACGUAGCGAAAGUUACGCUAAUACCGCAUAUUCUGUGAGCAGGAAAGCAGGGGAUCGCAAGACCUUGCGCUGAUUGAGCGGCCGAUAUCAGAUUAGCUAGUUGGUGAGGUAAAGGCUCACCAAGGCGACGAUCUGUAGCGGGUCUGAGAGGAUGAUCCGCCACACUGGAACUGAGACACGGUCCAGACUCCUACGGGAGGCAGCAGUGGGGGAAUUUUGGUACGAAUAGGGCGGCAAGACCUGAUCCACGCCAUGCCGCCGUGAGUGAAGAAAGGACCGC
rnacentral:rRNA from 1 species